GGAGUUGGAGUCGUCCAGUCGGUGGGGUCUGAGUUCGAAUUCCAGCUCAACCCUCACCAGCAGAACUACUUUGGAAUGAGGAUAUCCUUUGUCACAGAGCUAAGCUCACACACUACUGUAUCUGGCCCAGUAAAGGCAAGGAAGAGUUGGAGGUAGAACAGUUGCAGCCCAGGCAACAAGGACAUGCAAGUCAUCAAUAACAUGUGCAAACUACAAAAUAAUGCUGUUACCUUCUGCUCUCCAACUCACUCAAGAAUCUCCCUUUUAGCCCACUGAACAAGAAGAACAUUCAAGAAAGAGAAUACUGAUACUCCACAUAACAAGGCUUUCUGAAAACAAUGAUUAUCCUACAGAUCCCUCUAAUAUAAGCCUACUGGCAGCUGAAUAAGGUGGGAACUCUGUCUGAAGGCUUCCAUGUUCUGAACAUAUUCAUGAGAUUUUUCCACUGUGUGGGUAUUAAGGUGUCUCCAUAAGAGCUGAGCCAAGACUAAAGACUUCUCAUUUCACAUUCAAAGGCCUUCUCCCCAGCUGAAUGUUCUGACUUUUUUUUUAAGAGCUGAACUUCAAAGGUGUUUUUCCACACUGAUUUUAUUCAUAGUUUUCUCAUCUGUAUGGAUUUCCAGAUUAUC